GAUGAACGCUGGCGGCGUGCCUAAUACAUGCAAGUCGAGCGAACAGACGAGGAGCUUGCUCCUCUGACGUUAGCGGCGGACGGGUGAGUAACACGUGGAUAACCUACCUAUAAGACUGGGAUAACUUCGGGAAACCGGAGCUAAUACCGGAUAAUAUAUUGAACCGCAUGGUUCAAUAGUGAAAGACGGUUUUGCUGUCACUUAUAGAUGGAUCCGCGCCGCAUUAGCUAGUUGGUAAGGUAACGGCUUACCAAGGCAACGAUGCGUAGCCGACCUGGGAGGGUGGUCGGCCACACUGGAACUGAGACACGGUCCAGACUCCUACGGGAGGCAGCAGUAGGGAAUCUUCCGCAAUGGGCGAAAGCCUGACGGAGCAACACCGCGUGAGUGAUGAAGGUCUUCGGAUCGUAAAACUCUGUUAUUAGGGAAGACCAAAUGUGUAAGUAACUAUGCACGUCUUGACGGUACCUAAUCAGAAAGCCACGGCUAACUACGUG
rnacentral:rRNA from 1 species